rnacentral:tRNA from 1 species
GGAUUGUGGCUCAGUGGUACAGUGCUUGCCUCAAAAGUGUGAGGCACUGGGUUCGAUUCUCAGCACCA